AAAUUGAAGAGUUUGAUCAUGGCUCAGAUUGAACGCUGGCGGCAGGCCUAACACAUGCAAGUCGAGCGGUAGCACAGAAGAGCUUGCUCUUCGGGUGACGAGCGGCGGACGGGUGAGUAAUGUCUGGGAAACUGCCUGAUGGAGGGGGAUAACUACUGGAAACGGUAGCUAAUACCGCAUAACGUCUUCGGACCAAAGAGGGGGACCUUCGGGCCUCUUGCCAUCGGAUGUGCCCAGAUGGGAUUAGCUAGUAGGUGAGGUAAUGGCUCACCUAGGCGACGAUCCCUAGCUGGUCUGAGAGGAUGACCAGCCACACUGGAACUGAGACACGGUCCAGACUCCUACGGGAGGCAGCAGUGGGGAAUAUUGCACAAUGGGCGCAAGCCUGAUGCAGCCAUGCCGCGUGUGUGAAGAAGGCCUUCGGGUUGUAAAGCACUUUCAGCGGGGAGGAAGGCGAUAAGGUUAAUAACCUUGUCGAUUGACGUUACCCGCAGAAGAAGCACCGGCUAACUCCGUGCCAGCAGCCGCGGUAAUACGGAGGGUGCAAGCGUUAAUCGGAAUGACUGGGCGUAAAGCGCACGCAGGCGGUCUGUUAAGUUGGAUGUGAAAUCCCCGGGCUUAACCUGGGAACUGCAUUCAAAACUGACAGGCUAGAGUCUUGUAGAGGGGGGUAGAAUUCCAGGUGUAGCGGUGAAAUGCGUAGAGAUCUGGAGGAAUACCGGUGGCGAAGGCGGCCCCCUGGACAAAGACUGACGCUCAGGUGCGAAAGCGUGGGGAGCAAACAGGAUUAGAUACCCUGGUAGUCCACGCUGUAAACGAUGUCGACUUGGAGGUUGUGCCCUUGAGGCGUGGCUUCCGGAGCUAACGCGUUAAGUCGACCGCCUGGGGAGUACGGCCGCAAGGUUAAAACUCAAAUGAAUUGACGGGGGCCCGCACAAGCGGUGGAGCAUGUGGUUUAAUUCGAUGCAACGCGAAGAACCUUACCUACUCUUGACAUCCACAGAAUUUGGUAGAGAUACCUUAGUGCCUUCGGGAACUGUGAGACAGGUGCUGCAUGGCUGUCGUCAGCUCGUGUUGUGAAAUGUUGGGUUAAGUCCCGCAACGAGCGCAACCCUUAUCCUUUGUUGCCAGCACGUAAUGGUGGGAACUCAAAGGAGACUGCCGGUGAUAAACCGGAGGAAGGUGGGGAUGACGUCAAGUCAUCAUGGCCCUUACGAGUAGGGCUACACACGUGCUACAAUGGCGUAUACAAAGAGAAGCGAACUCGCGAGAGCAAGCGGACCUCACAAAGUACGUCGUAGUCCGGAUUGGAGUCUGCAACUCGACUCCAUGAAGUCGGAAUCGCUAGUAAUCGUAGAUCAGAAUGCUACGGUGAAUACGUUCCCGGGCCUUGUACACACCGCCCGUCACACCAUGGGAGUGGGUUGCAAAAGAAGUAGGUAGCUUAACCUUCGGGAGGGCGCUUACCACUUUGUGAUUCAUGACUGGGGUGAAGUCGUAACAAGGUAACCGUAGGGGAACCUGCGGUUGGAUCACCUCCUUACCAAAAAGA
rnacentral:rRNA from 1 species